CGUACACUCCUGCGGGAGGCAGCAGUGGGGAAUUUUGGACAAUGGGCGAAAGCCUGAUCCAGCCAUGCCGCGUGCAGGAUGAAGGCCUUCGGGUUGUAAACUGCUUUUGUACGGAACGAAACGGCCUUUUCUAAUAAAGAGGGCUAAUGACGGUACCGUAAGAAUAAGCACCGGCUAACUACGUGCCAGCAGCCGCGGUAAUACGUAGGGUGCAAGCGUUAAUCGGAAUUACUGGGCGUAAAGCGUGCGCAGGCGGUUAUGUAAGACAGUUGUGAAAUCCCCGGGCUCAACCUGGGAACUGCAUCUGUGACUGCAUAGCUAGAGUACGGUAGAGGGGGAUGGAAUUCCGCGUGUAGCAGUGAAAUGCGUAGAUAUGCGGAGGAACACCGAUGGCGAAGGCAAUCCCCUGGACCUGUACUGACGCUCAUGCACGAAAGCGUGGGGAGCAAACAGGAUUAGAAACCCCGGUAGUCCCA
rnacentral:rRNA from 1 species